UAAACGGGGAGCUUGUAUAACAGGCUGAGAGGAAGAUGUGAUCUUCGACCCAUGGGACCUGAUUUGGAUAAUGCCAACGGAGGGAAUUCAAUUAAG
rnacentral:ncRNA from 1 species